CGUAGCCACCACAAGGCCGCUGUGGAAAAGCAGUAUGAGGCGGUGCCCAUUUCUGAGGCUACGUGUUGUCGGAAAAUGUAAUCGUAGAGACAAUUUCGCACCAACAUCCGGAAAUGUCCAAUCGCCACGGAAAACCCUGGAAACUGCACCGAGCAGCUGCGGAAAUCUGCCACAAGCGGAACAUGAUAGAUGGUUUCCAAUAUGCCGCCUUGCGAAGUAACUGCCCAUGAUGCUGGAUGAUUCAACGCCCCUUAUCGUAC